rnacentral:sRNA from 1 species
CCUAGGCUGCUGACCUAAUACUUUGGUCCUUCAUUUGCCUAGGGGAAAGUCCCCAGACAUCUGACAGAGAGUGCA